AAUUGGGCCAAAGCCCAAAGGGACGUUAGCUAGGGCGCUCGUUGGGGAUAGACGACUGAGGCUGGCUAGGGACUUGCGGGAUAACGCGGAGGCUCAGGAGUUGCGAGGGUCUGGACAACAUUGAAGGUGGCUCGGGGUCUCAUUGGGGCUAUACGACGGAGGCUCGGGGGUUGUGGCAGCGGCAACACGCGUGGCUUUGUGGCCGAGAGCGACGGCUCAUCGACGGUGGCCAUAAAGAAAGGAUGCUUAGAAAGCUCAGUGGAAAAGGUGAAGGAAAGCAUCUUGGAGCUAAAAUCUUGAUACUUUGCUGUAGCAUCAUUUCAACUUUGCUGCAGCAAAGUGUACACAGUCAGCAACUUAAGUUAUGCAUACUUGGCAAGUUAUUAAAUGAGAUGCAAUGACAUGAUAAGAUGAAUGAUAAGGUGGAAAAAGAGCUGAUAUUUUUAGGGAAAGUUGUGGUCUCCAUAUAGAAAGAGAGAGAGAGAGGAGAGGAUUUAUACCCAUUUUGAGCCAUAAAAUGGGAUCUAUUAUCUUCAUCAAGCUACAAUCGCCCAAGACAAGAUGAAAACUAUUUUUUUCUGCAAUUUUUUGAGCAGAAACACCAAGGAGCAGAGGAAGAAUGUGGUAGAAGAGAACAGAAUCAAGAGAAGAGGAAGAAGAGAAUAAACUUUCAACCGUUGGGGGCUAGAAUCUUUCUCUUUCUUUCUAUUUAAUUUUUGCAUUCCUUCUCUAAAUCUUGAACUCAAAGAACAAUGGUAUUUUCAUUUUGUUGUUAUUUUAGUAUUUUGAUAAUGAACUAACUUUUUCGAAGCUAGGGAUAUUAAUGAAUCCUAAUUUGUAUUGAAUCUCAAGUUGUUAAUUUUAAUUUAUGAUAUGUUGCUCUUGUUCAA